AAAUAGAUAUUAUUUGUUAAACGAGCAAUCGCAAUCCGAGAGUGAAGUAAAAGAAGAUGAUAACGAAACGGAAACAGCAAAAUCGUGCGAUGGACAAAAUGUUCAGGAAUGUCCGAAGAAAAAGAGGAAGAAAAAAAAGAAGAAAAAUUCUGGGAAACAUGCAGCCAACCAGCAUCGCAGUAGCGAGGAUAAUGCAGAUGUCGAUGAAGUGGAGCGAUCAUUGCGGGAAGUAAAUAGUCUUCUGGGAGAAACACCGCAAAUUGUGACCGAGAGCCGAAAAGCUCAACACCAUCAAAAAUCUAUUUUGAAUAUUCAA